GAGUUUGAUCUUGGCUCAGAUUGAACGCUGGCGGCAUGCCUUACACAUGCAAGUCGAACGGCAGCACGGGAGCUUGCUCCUGGUGGCGAGUGGCGAACGGGUGAGUAAUGCAUCGGAACGUAUCCUGGAGUGGGGGAUAACGUAGCGAAAGUUACGCUAAUACCGCAUAUUCUGUGAGCAGGAAAGCGGGGGACCUUCGGGCCUCGCGCUCUUGGAGCGGCCGAUGUCGGAUUAGCUAGUUGGUGAGGUAAAGGCUCACCAAGGCGACGAUCCGUAGCAGGUCUGAGAGGAUGAUCUGCCACACUGGAACUGAGACACGGUCCAGACUCCUACGGGAGGCAGCAGUGGGGAAUUUUGGACAAUGGGGGCAACCCUGAUCCAGCCAUGCCGCGUGAGUGAAG
rnacentral:rRNA from 4 species